AGCGGUGAAAAUGCGUAGAGAUUCUGAAAGGAAAUACCCGGUGGCGAAGGCGGCCCCCUGGACAGAUACUGACACUCAGAUGCGAAAAGCGUGGGGAGCAAACAGGAUUUAGAUACCCUGGUAGUCCACGCCGUAAACGAUGUCUACUUGGAGGUUGUGGCCUUGAGCCGUGGCUUUCGGAGCUAACGCGUUAAGUAGACCGCCUGGGGAGUACGGUCGCAAGAUUAAAACUCAAAUGAAUUUGACGGGGGCCCGCACAAGCGGUGGAGCAUGUGGUUUAAUUCGAUGCAACGCGAAGAACCUUACCUACUCUUGACAUCCAGAGAACUUUCCAGAGAUGGAUUGGUGCCUUCGGGAACUCUGAGACAGGUGCUGCAUGGCUGUCGUCAGCUCGUGUUGUGAAAUGUUGGGUUAAGUCCCGCAACGAGCGCAACCCUUAUCCUUGUUUGCCAGCACGUAAUGGUGGGAACUCCAGGGAGACUGCCGGUGAUAAACCGGAGGAAGGUGGGGACGACGUCAAGUCAUCAUGGCCCUUACGAGUAGGGCUACACACGUGCUACAAUGGCGUAUACAGAGGGCUGCCAACCAGCGAUAGUGAGCGAAUCCCAGAAAGUACGUCGUAGUCCGGAUUGGAGUCUGCAACUCGACUCCAUGAAGUCGGAAUCGCUAGUAAUCGUGAAUCAGAAUGUCACGGUGAAUACGUUCCCGGGCCUUGUACACACCGCCCGUCACACCAUGGGAGUGGGCUGCACCAGAAGUAGAUAGCUUAACCUUCGGGAGGGCGUUUACCACGGUGUGGUUCAUGACUGGGGUGAAGUCGUAACAAGGU
rnacentral:rRNA from 1 species